UCCCUUUAAAUCUUCAGAAAGAAGGCUUAUAUUAAAGAUGUUGGGUUAAACCAGCUAUGGCGAUAAACGGUCAGUAGAAUAAGCGGGACGGACCCGGGGGCGGUACCCGGCACCUCCACCAAAUAGAUCGAAAUAUCACGGAUAUUUCAAAAGUCUUAAGGAAUCUUAAGUCUCUUUGGGGGUGAAAUAGGAUCGACGUACGUGGUAAAGGCUUAUCUUUCGCUCGGUAUGGUAUCCGCCGAAACGGGCUAAUAUUGUAAAUGCAAAUCAAAAUAAUGCAUUUGUGGUCGCUUGUAAUGAUAAUGCUCCUAUUGCUAUAGCUGCUUAAUCAUUAUUGACUACGCGGUCGGGGGGCACCGGGCAACAGAACGCCCCCACU
rnacentral:tmRNA from 2 species